rnacentral:misc_RNA from 1 species
UUGGAGCAGUUAUUGAAUUUCUUCUCACGUUUACAAUGAAAGUGAAUCCAAUAAACGUUAUUAAACUUCCGUGGGCAGCAUUUGAAGUAAUGAAUAUACCAGAGUCCCCGUUAACAAAUGAUGAACGUGAAAUAGUUUCGAACUUCGAAAACAUUUUAUUACAAAGCGUGACAGAAUAUAAUAGUGUGGAAACGAUUGAGGAAAAUUCUCUUGACUUUGAAGAGCCCUACAAAAAUCUUGAAACGUUCGCAGUGGAAGAUGCAGAUUUUCAGGUGCCUUCCGAAGGACCUGGAGAUCGCUGUUCCGAAGAUGACGAACCUUUAAGUUUCGAUUAUAAAAGAAGAGCUGUUGAAUAUCGGAGAAGUGCAAAGACGAAAAAAAAUCGCUCAAUUGAUACGGUUCGUCAUAGAUAUAAAAAAGUCAAAUCAGUACGACAAUUGCGUCGUUGGGCACACCAAAUCAACCAGGAAGGGACAUACGUGGAAAAAUUGGCUCGCAUAUCAGAGUAUACAUUGCAGAAUAUGAAAAAUGCCAUUGACGCUGGCUUGAUUGUUCAUGAUACGGAUCUGCGAAGAUGGGCUUUACAGGCCCAAGGACUUAUCAGUCAUAAGGAUUUUCGAUUUAAAGCAUCGCCAACGUGGUUACUUCACUUUAAGAAGAUCCAUCGCGUUACUAGCAGAAAAAUCAAUAAAUUCGUCACGCGAAAAUCAGUGGAAAAUAGUGAAUAUUUACACAAGAGUGCUGAAGAAUUUUUGAAAAGAGUUGAACCUUAUAUUUCCGAAUAUGGAUAUGGACAAAAUAUAUAUAAUUCUGAUCAGAGUGGUUUCCAAAUAGAGAUUCAUUCUGGACGAACGUUAACGGAAGAAGGAACUAAACAAGUGUCGUGCAUAGUACAAUCAAACCAUCCGGAACGUUCGGACCUAUAGUUGAACAACAUUUAUUCAGACCGCCAAAUGUUUUCAUCACAGCUUCCAAAUCAGGAAAACUUACUUCAGAGCAUUUCAAGAUGUGGUUAGAAGAAGUGUUUAUCCCAAAAGUGGGACCGAAGAGUCUACUUGUAAUUGAUUCUUGGAGUGGGCAUUGUUCUAGAGUUGUGCAAGAGACAACACCCCCAGACAAAAAGUUGACGACUUUAUUGAUACCGAAAGGAACCACUGGAAAAAUUCAACCUCUCGAUGUUUUCCGCUUCCGUAUAUGGAAAAAUUAUAUUCGUCAUUUUUCAGACACCGUAGUUCUUCUUGAUUAUGAUUUAAAUUUACAUUUAAGGAAUAAUAUAAUAAAAUUACAGUCUUUAGUUCACAACCAACUGUCAUCUCCGCGAUAUCAUAAUUUUUUUCGUUAUGCGUGGCAUAAAAGCGGGUUCAUUGCAAAGAAACCUGAUGAAUUUGAUAAACCCGUUGAUUUUGCAUUUGGACAGUCAUCUCAUCCGAAUUGUGAAAUCGGAGGUUGCACGAAUGUCACAGUAAUCAGAUGUUCUUGGUGUAAAAAAUCACUUUGCCUACAGCAUUUUUUUGAUGAAUAUCAUUAUUGUACCGACUAUCAUCCAUAAAGCGAUUUAUAGAUAAACUUGGAACUUGUUUUUGUUUAAAGGGUGUGGCCACGGUAGAGGAAGUAGAAUCAUGUGCAUAUUCAACAAUUUUGUAUUAUAUAAAAACGUAAUUUAUUUACAAAACCAUUUACAGGUGUAUUUAGUGUAUGAAUCAAAGUAACAAAAAAAAAUUUCUUUAUUCAUUUUUUCAAUGCAAAAUGGCUAAUAAUCACUACUUGUUUUUUGUUUAUCUUUUUCCCAGCCCUUACUCCUCAAAUAUCUGUGCCAUAGAAUUAAUUCAAGUAGAGAUAUGACUUGUUUACAUAUGACACACAUCGAA